UCCACCAAAUUACCGAAGACAAAGGUGUGUAUACGAUUGGACUCUUCAGUUUAUUACACCCGGCCCUUUGUCGAAACCCUUAACCCACGACACACACGACCCUCUCGCUCAAACCCUCAAAACCCACGACCCUCUCUCAAACCCUCUCUCCGAUCGCUACCCCGACGAGGACGACGACAAGGACAUACGUCUCUUCCCCAGCUCUUCCUCUGACGACGACAGUCCUCCCACGACGACGAGGGUUACUCCUCCCAGAGAGCGACGACGACCCUUCAGUUACUGUCUUCGACAGCUGGUACUCUCUCUUUCAUUCUUUGUUAUUUUGUGCGUGUGUGCGGGGUUCGGUUUGGGUUUUUGGAUAAGUUCAAAAUAUACGCCCAAAAAUGGUUUCAGUGCUAUGGGAGAAGUUUUCUCAUAUCAACCUGACAUUCUCCAUAGGUGGACAAAUAAGCUUUGAUGUCUUUCCCCAAGGUUGGGAUAAAACAUAUUGCUUGAAAUACCUUGACGACUUCCAAGAAAUCCAUUUCUUUGGUGACAAAACUUACAAGAAUUGAAGAAGUAUUAUAUAUGUCUGUCAGUGGAAAAUCUUCGAAAAGAUUGACUGUGUAUUCAAACCAAUGUUUUGUGGUUAAACAUCAAGGAUCUAAAUUGAAGGGAGAAUACGAUUUUUUCCAAGUGUUGAGAUAGAGAUGAUGUGCCGACACAUGAUUGCUCUAAAGAUGAGAACUUAGGUCAUUGUUUGCAACCUCCCAACCAUGGAGGUCCUACACGGAUGAAGUGUGUAUGCCAAAGAAUGGAUAAAGGUGAAAAAAUAGACCUUGAGGUUAAUGACAUAGGGGAAUACUUUGGAGAUAUGUAUGGAGAGAUGAUAUCAUGGCUCGGAGUUAGAUGUCGACAAACACUUAAUAUUUUCUUAUUAAUUUCUUAUUAGACGUCAUUGGAUGCUUGAGAUUGUUUGUGUUGGGAAGAUCAUUCACUUGGACCCUUUGUUUAGACAUAAACGCCCUCAGAUGACUAUUGACCUCACACUCCAAAGGUUGGAAUGAAGGACACAUACGAUGUGGAGACGAUGUUGCUUGCUACCACUGCAAAAUCAAUGGUUAUCGAAACUGACACGAUACUUGUACUAGUUAGCUUUAGACUUUUAAUUUUAGGCAAUACUUAUUUUGUGCGUGAUUUUUAUUAGUAAGAA